CAGUCGCCGCGGUAAUACGUAGGGUGCAAGCGUUAAUCGGAAUUACUGGGCGUAAAGCGUGCGCAGGCGGUUCUAUAAGACAGAUGUGAAAUCCCCGGGCCCAACCUGGGAACUGCAUUUGUGACUGUAGAGCUGGAGUGCGGCAGAGGGGGAUGGAAUUCCGCGUGUAGCAGUGAAAUGCGUAGAUAUGCGGAGGAACACCGAUGGCGAAGGCAAUCCCCUGGGCCUGCACUGACGCUCAUGCACGAAAGCGUGGGGAGCAAACAGGAUUAGAUACCCGCGUAGUCCCUGUCUCUUAUAA
rnacentral:rRNA from 1 species